CACACUCUGCUUUUAUGCAUAAUCCCUUGCAAGGGGUCUUCUACACAAACAGGGGUUUCCAUCCCAGGAUCCUCUGUACCUGGGAGCACCUAGUCUCUUUGUCUUCCAGGUACAGAAAGCUCACCCCACAUAAAAGGGGUCUCCCAUACCAAACGACAGAAGUCUUCAUCCCAGGAUCCUAUGUGCCUGGGAGCCCGGCGUGGGAAAAG